GAUGAACGCUGGCGGCGUGCCUAAUACAUGCAAGUCGAACGAACAAUCUCAGCUGUCUCUUUGGAUUAGUUGCGAACGGGUGUGUAACACGUGAGUAACCUGCCCUGAAAUCUGGCUUAAGCCGGGGAAACUGGGUCGAAUACGGGAGAUAAGCGUGCAUCGCAUGGAUUGUUUUGGAAUGAUUUAUCGGUUUUGGAUGGACUAGCGGUCUAUCAUCUCGUUGGUGAGGAUAUGGUUCACAAAGGAGACGACGGGUAGCCGGCCUGGGAGGGUGACCGGCCACACUGGGACUGAGAAAGGGCCCAGACUGCUACGGGAGGCAGCGGUGGAGAAUAUUGCAAAAUAGGCGAAAGGCUGAUGCAGCGACGCCGGGUGAGGGAUGACGGCCUUAGGGUUGUAAACCUCUUUCAGUAGGGAAGAAGACACAGUGACGGUACCUGCAGAAGAAGCAACGGCUAACUACGUG
rnacentral:rRNA from 1 species